rnacentral:rRNA from 1 species
UACGUAGGGUGCGAGCGUUAAUCGGAAUUACUGGGCGUAAAGCGUGCGCAGGCGGUUGGGUAAGUCUGAUGUGAAAGCCCCGGGCUCAACCUGGGAAUGGCAUUGGAAACUGGCUGGCUAGAGUGUGGCAGAGGGGGGUGGAAUUCCGCGUGUAGCAGUGAAAUGCGUAGAGAUGCGGAGGAACACCGAUGGCGAAGGCAGCCCCCUGGGCUAGCACUGACGCUCAGGCACGAAAGCGUGGGGAGCGAACAGG